UAACACGAACCGUACGAACGUUAUUCGGAAUCACUGGGCUUAAAGAGUCCGUAGGCGGCCUUGUAGGUGGGGUGUGAAAUCCCACGGCUCAACCGUGGAAUUGCGCUUCAAACCACAAGACUUGAGGAAGAUAGAGGAGAGCGGAACUGAUGGUGGAGCGGUGAAAUGCGUUGAUAUUAUCAGGAACACCGGUGGCGAAGGCGGCUCUCUGGAUCUUUUCUGACGCUGAGGGACGAAAGCUAGGGGAGCGAACGGGAUUAGAUACCCCGGUAGUCCUAGCUGUAAACGAUGAGCACUGGGUCGAGGCGGCUCUCACACCGUCUCGGCCGUAGCGAAAGCGUUAAGUGCUCCGCCUGGGGAGUAUGGUCGCAAGGCUG
rnacentral:rRNA from 1 species